rnacentral:rRNA from 1 species
UAGGGAAUCUUCGGCAAUGGGGGCAACCCUGACCGAGCAACGCCGCGUGAGUGAAGAAGGUUUUCGGAUCGUAAAGCUCUGUUGUAAGAGAAGAACGUGUGUGAGAGUGGAAAGUUCACACAGUGACGGUAACUUACCAGAAAGGGACGGCUAACUACGUGCCAGCAGCCGCGGUAAUACGUAGGUCCCGAGCGUUGUCCGGAUUUAUUGGGCGUAAAGCGAGCGCAGGCGGUUUAAUAAAUCUGAAGUGAAAGGCAGUGGCUUAACCAUUGUUCGCUUUGGAAACUGUUAAACUUGAAUGCAGAAGGGUGGAGUGGAAUUCCAUGUGUAGCGGUGAAAUGCGUAGAUAUAUGGAGGAACACCGGUGGCGAAAGCGGCUCUCUGGUCUGUAACUGACGCUGAGGCUCGAAAGCGUGGGGAGCAAACAGG